CAGACCUUGGUCAAUCUACUUCCGUUUUUCUCUUGAGUUGAGACUUGAGAUUGGACCAGCUCUGCAAUCUCAGUGGAAAAGUUUCCCCGCCCAGUGGCCGCAGCAGAAGCCCAGGCCAGGCUCCCACUGGGACAGAUUGUGUCUUGUGGUGGUUCGUGGUUCUGAUUGGCCAGGUUUGAAACAGGUUCACCCGGAAUUGCAGGGAUGGGAACAACACUUCCCAAGCCACAGGAUGAGAGGAGGGAGAUGGUUCCCAAAAGAAAAGGACUCUUGUCCUGUAAACAGCUACCAGCUCCAGCGCAAGGCGGAGAUGAGGCGCAGGCACCCGCCGAAUCCGGCUCGGGGGACUGGCUGCGACUUCCGAAAGAGGGGAUGGAGCUUCUCGGAGGGAGCUUCAGCGCCGAGGACCACAACUCCCGGCAGGCUCCGCGACGCCGCUGAACUACAAUAACCAGCAUGCCCCGGACCGUCGGGUUUAACCUAUUCCUCCUGCAAGGUGUUCCGCACCGGAAUUUGCUCUACUGUGACUUUUGCUUGCAGAAAUUCCCCUAGAGAACCAAGGAAUCUAUGCGAGUAAACGUUUAGGAGCAUCGUG